rnacentral:rRNA from 1 species
UACGAAGGGGGCUAGCGUUGCUCGGAAUCACUGGGCGUAAAGCGCACGUAGGCGGCUUUUUAAGUCAGGGGUGAAAUCCUGGAGCUCAACUCCAGAACUGCCUUUGAUACUGAGAAGCUUGAGUCCGGGAGAGGUGAGUGGAACUGCGAGUGUAGAGGUGAAAUUCGUAGAUAUUUGCAAGAACACCAGUGGCGAAGGCGGCUCACUGGCCCGGUACUGACGCUGAGGUGCGAAAGCGUGGGGAGCAAACAGG